rnacentral:rRNA from 2 species
CCUGGCGGCCGUAGCGCGGUGGUCCCACCUGACCCCAUGCCGAACUCAGAAGUGAAACGCCGUAGCGCCGAUGGUAGUGUGGGGUCUCCCCAUGCGAGAGUAGGGA